CGGGUCGCUGCACCAGUAAGGAAUAUUGCGCAAUGGAGGCAACUCUGACGCAGCCAUGCCGCGUGCAGGAAGAAGGCCUUAUGGGUCGUAAACUGCUUUUAUUUAGGAAUAAACCCCCGAACGUGUUCGGGGCUGAAGGUACUAAACGAAUAAGCACCGGCUAACUCCGUGCCAGCAGCCGCGGUAAUACGGAGGGUGCAAGCGUUAUCCGGAUUUAUUGGGUUUAAAGGGUGCGUAGGCGGGCUAUUAAGUCAGUGGUGAAAUCCCGGGGCUCAACUCCGGAACUGCCAUUGAUACUGUUAGUCUUGAGUUUGGUUGAAGUGGGCGGAAUGUAGCAUGUAGCGGUGAAAUGCAUAGAUAUGCUACAGAACACCAAUCGCGAAGGCAGCUCACUAAGCCAAAACUGACGCUCAUGCACGAAAGCGUGGGGAUCAAGCAGGAUUAGAUACCCGUGUAGUC
rnacentral:rRNA from 1 species